GCGGCAUUAGCUCAGUUGGAACUAGAGCAUCUGACUACGAAUCAGAAGGUCGAAGGUUCGAAUCCUUCAUGCCGCA
rnacentral:tRNA from 1 species